CCUACGGGUGGCAGCAGUCGAGAAUCAUUCACAAUGGGGGAAACCCUGAUGGUGCGACGCCGCGUGGGGGAAUGAAGGUCUUCGGAUUGUAAACCCCUGUCAUGUGGGAGCAAAUUAAAAAGAUAGUACCACAAGAGGAAGAGACGGCUAACUCUGUGCCAGCAGCCGCGGUAAUACAGAGGUCUCAAGCGUUGUUCGGAAUCACUGGGCGUAAAGUGUGCGUAGGCUGUUUCGUAAGUCGUGUGUGAAAGGCGCGGGCUCAACCCGCGGACGGCACAUGAUACUGCGAGACUAGAGUAAUGGAGGGGGAACCGGAAGUCUCGGUGUAGCAGUGAAAUGCGUAGAUAUCGAGAGGAACACUCGUGGCGAAGGCGGGUUCCUGGACAUUAACUGACGCUGAGGCACGAAGGCCAGGGGAGCGAAAGGGAUUAGAUACCCCUGUAGUC
rnacentral:rRNA from 1 species